UACGUAGGGAGCAAGCGUUUGUUCGGAUUUACUGGGCGUAAAGGGCGCGUAGGCGGCAGAUCAAGUCAGCUGUGAAAUCUCCGAGCUUAACUCGGAACUGUCAGCUGAUACUGUUUUGCUAGAGUGCGGAAGGGGCAAUCGGAAUUCUUGGUGUAGCGGUGAAAUGCGUAGAUAUCAAGAGGAACACCUGAGGUGAAGACGGGUUGCUGGGCCGACACUGACGCUGAGUGCGCGAAAAGCCAGGGGGAGCAAACGGGG
rnacentral:rRNA from 1 species